rnacentral:SRP_RNA from 2 species
GCCGGGUGUGGUGGCGGACACCUGUAAUCCCAGCUACUUGGGAGGCUGAGGCAGGAGAAUCGCUUGAACCUGGGAGGCGGAGGUUGCAGUGAGCCAAGAUCGCGCCAUUGCACCCCAGCCUAGGUGACAGAGCAAGACUCUGUCUCAA